GUGGGGAAUAUUGGACAAUGGGGGGAACCCUGAUCCAGCCAUGCCGCGUGUGUGAAGAAGGCCUUUUGGUUGUAAAGCACUUUAAGCGAGGAGGAGGCUACCGAGAUUAAUACUCUUGGAUAGAGGACGUUACUCGCAGAAUAAGCACCGGCUAACUCUGUGCCAGCAGCCGCGGUAAUACAGAGGGUGCAAGCGUUAAUCGGAUUUACUGGGCGUAAAGCGCGCGUAGGUGGCCAAUUAAGUCAAAUGUGAAAUCCCCGAGCUUAACUUGGGAAUUGCAUUCGAUACUGGUUGGCUAGAGUAUGGGAGAGGAUGGUAGAAUUCCAGGUGUAGCGGUGAAAUGCGUAGAGAUCUGGAGGAAUACCGAUGGCGAAGGCAGCCAUCUGGCCUAAUACUGACACUGAGGUGCGAAAGCAUGGGGAGCAAACAGGAUUAGAAACCCUAGUAGUCC
rnacentral:rRNA from 1 species